GAGGGUAUAGCUCAGUGGCAGAGUGUGCGCUUAGCAUGCACAAGGACCUGGGUUCAAUCCCCAGCACCUCCA
rfam:Camelus ferus unplaced genomic scaffold scaffold1162, whole genome shotgun sequence.